GUAUUUUAUUAUACAUGACCCAUUCAAAGACAAAAGACGUGUGUAUUGAAAACAUAGACAAGGAAAGCAUAGACGGUUGUCUACACCAUCCUCAAGUCUACGGAGGUGCACAGAUGAGUGGAGAUUAGGAUUUGUAAAGGAGUGCACAUUAUACUCAAAUAGAGCCAGCACAUCCUAGAUAAUCACUAAUGAUCCUUCCGCAGGUUCACCUACGGAAA
rnacentral:misc_RNA from 1 species